rnacentral:rRNA from 1 species
AAAAGCGCAUGUGUUGUGAGCUCGAUGAGUAGGGCGGGACACGUGGUAUCCUGUCUGAAUAUGGGGGGACCAUCCUCCAAGGCUAAAUACUCCUGACUGACCGAUAGUGAACCAGUACCGUGAGGGAAAGGCGAAAAGAACCCCGGCGAGGGGAGUGAAAAAGAACCUGAAACCGUGUACGUACAAGCAGUGGGAGCACAGGUUUACCUGUGUGACUGCGUACCUUUUGUAUAAUGGGUCAGCGACUUAUAUUCUGUAGCAAGGUUAACCGAAUAGGGGAGCCGGAGGGAAACCGAGUCUUAAUUGGGCGUUAAGUUGCAGGGUAUAGACCCGAAACCCGGUGAUCUAGCCAUGGGCAGGUUGAAGGUUGGGUAACACUAACUGGAGGACCGAACCGACUAAUGUUGAAAAAUUAGCGGAUGACCUGUGGCUGGGGGUGAAAGGCCAAUCAAACCGGGAGAUAGCUGGUUCUCCCCGAAAGCUAUUUAGGUAGCGCCUCGUGAAUUCAUCUCCGGGGGUAGAGCACUGUUUCGGCUAGGGGGCCAUCCCGGCUUACCAACCCGAUGCAAACUGCGAAUACCGGAGAAUGUUAUCACGGGAGACACACGGCGGGUGCUAACGUCCGUCGUGAAGAGGGAAACAACCCAGACCGCCAGCUAAGGUCCCAAAGUCAUGGUUAAGUGGGAAACGAUGUGGGAAGGCCCAGACAGCCAGGAUGUUGGCUUAGAAGCAGCCAUCAUUUAAAGAAAGCGUAAUAGCUCACUGGUCGAGUCGGCCUGCGCGGAAGAUGUAACGGGGCUAAACCAU